UACGUAGGGUCCGAGCGUUGUCCGGAAUUACUGGGCGUAAAGAGCUCGUAGGUGGUUUGUCGCGUUGUUCGUGAAAACUCACAGCUCAACUGUGGGCGUGCGGGCGAUACGGGCAGACUGGAGUACUGCAGGGGAGAAUGGAAUUCCUGGUGUAGCGGUGAAAUGCGCAGAUAUCAGGAAGAACACCCGUGGCGAAGGCGGUUCUCUGGGACGGUACUGACGCUGAGACGCGAAAGCGUGGGGAGCAAACAGG
rnacentral:rRNA from 1 species